GCCGAUAUAGUUUAGUGGUAAAACAAGAGAUUUGUAACCUCUUGUCCUCAGUUCGAUUCUGAGUGUCGGCU
rnacentral:tRNA from 1 species